rnacentral:rRNA from 1 species
AUUGAACGCUGGCGGCAGGCCUAACACAUGCAAGUCGAACGAGUGGCGGACGGCUGAGUACUGUCUGGGAAACUGCCCGAUGGAGGGGGAUAACUACUGGAAACGGUAGCUAAUACCGCAUACCAUCGGAUGUGCCCAGAUGGGCGUAGCUAGUAGGUGGGGUAACGGCUCACCUCGGCGACGAUCCCUAGCUGGUCUGAGAGGAUGACCGGCCACACUGGAACUGAGACACGGUCCAGACUCCUACGUGAGGCAGCAGUGGGGAAUAUUGCACAAUGGGCGCAAGCCUGAUGCAGCCAUGCGUCGUGUAUGAAGAAGGCCUUCGGGUUGUAAAGUACUGUCAGCGAGGAGGCGUUACUCGCAGAGGAAGCACUGGCUAACGCCGUGCCAGCAGCCGCGGUAAUAG